UUAUAUAUUGCUUUUUUCCGCUAUUGUUGAAAAAUUAAAAAAAAAAAACAAUUUACAGUUAGUACAGUGUCAUACAUUUAGCGUAAAUGUAGUUAAAUUAUUGACGUUAAAAAUUUGAAAUCAAAAUUUUGAAUGAAAUGGCAACAAUUAUAAAUAGUAAAGUAUUUGCCGUUAUAAACAUUAAAAAACACUUUUUUGUAAAUAUUGUUGACAGCGAAAAAGAAAGGAAACGCAAUUAAACAAUUUUGAAGCAAAAAAAAGUAACAAAAAUUCCUACCGAUCCGUUUUUAAAGCAAAAAAAAAACAAAAUAGUGGUAAUUUUCUUUAUCAAAUUUUCUUCGCAAUUCACGCAACAAAUAUCAAGUCAAUAAAAUUUGAGAAUCAAAAAAAAAUUGAAUGAUUAAGUUAAUAUAUUUAUAAGAUUGGAAUUAGUAAGAAAAAAAAUAUAUUUAUAUUAACAAGAUUUAUUUAUAAAACAAUUUUUAUUUUAACUUAAAUUUUUUUUAAUGAAAUUCAAGGUAUUUUUUUUUGUAAAUUAAGCAUUUUGUUGUCAUUAUUUCCUUGCACCAACUACAAAAGCGCACAAAUACUCGUAUUCACUGCAGUGUUAAAGUUCACUUUUAAAUUUAUUUUGCAAUUAAGCUUAACUGAUACCAUGAAAUAUACUAUAUUUAAGCAUAAUUAAUAUAAAAGACACCACAGUAACAAAAUUACAUAUGAAAAACGAUUCAAGCAAAGUUAAAUGAAAAGACUUAAUGCAAUUAUUGAGCGUCAUAUCAGUUUAAAUAUAUAUAUAUAUAUAUAAAUGUGUAUGUAUGUAUGCAAAUAUUGAAAAUAUUGAUGGUACUUAUACCAUACUGACAAUUUAUGCCACACAAAACAAAAAAGAAACAACAGCUGUUGCAGCAAAAACAUAAAAAACGUUUUCCAAUAAAUCCGGUGAGAAGUAAACGCAAGUGUUUAACAGGCGAAGAAAACGGUACAGCAAUAAAAAACGAAUUAUAUUAUACUAACACUACUAAAAUGAUAUGAGAUAACAUAUGAAGCAUUUUUGUUGGUAUUUUUACUGAAACGAUUUAUUUUAUAUAAAACUUUAUACAAAACGAAAUGCAGAAGAGAAAAAAUGUGCAAAAAAAAUUUAACAAAAAUAAUAAUAAAUUUUCAAUAGCAAAAAAGAUUAAUAAUAAUAAUUAAAAGCAUUAGUCCUACAUAAUAAAAAUUAAAAACUAAAUUAACAAGUAAAAAUUAGCAAUGCAGCAGCAAAAAAAAGUCAAAAAGAAGCUGAGUAAAAUUUAAAAAUAUAUAUUUUUUUGACUGUAAUUGCAAUUGGCAAAAAUAUCCAACUUUAAAUAAAAUUAGAACUAAAAAAAAAACAUAGUAAAAAGCGAAUUAAGCCAAUAAAAAAAAUUAAACAUAUCGACUACUUCAUAAACUAAUUGCGUUUAUUGUGAGUUUACUGCGAAAAUUUUGCUUUACUUUACAUUUUUAUUGUUGUAAUUUUUUUUCAUUAAAAACUAAAAACUAAUACAAAUGCAUAAAUGUCAAAAACGAAAUUAAGUGUGAGGUUUGGGGAAUAUAAAAUGAAAACAAUACGAAAACUAUAAAAAGAAUGCAAUGCAGCGUUGGGGCGUUAAAAAAUUCACACACACACACACAAAAACAUUUUCUGUGUCUUAAACUUGUAUAAAAGAAUGUCUUCCAUUAAUUAAUACUAAACAAAAAGUAAUAAAUUAAAUACUAACAGUAACAAAAAAUAAGAAAAUUAUUAAUUAACUAUUAAAUAUUAAAGAAAAUACAACACAUAUGCAUACAUGCUUCAUAAGUAAGCACGCACACACACACACAUACAAACAUCACAAUUUUACUUACACACACAGCCACACAAUUUGCAUCGGAACACUUGCAUACUUACUACUAACUAGUAAAUAACAAAUUAUAAUAGAGUAAAAGUAAAAAUUAUUACAAAAGAAUACAAUUAUGAAUAUUGAGUAAGGAAUUUGUGCAAUUUUUUGAAUGUAUUGUAUGCGAGUUAAACUAAAAAGUUGUAUAUAUGUAAGCUAAGAGUGUGCGUGGCUUUUGUGUUAGGCAACAAACAAAUCUUGUACUAAAAAUUAAAGAAAAGAUAAAUGUUAAAGGUUUGCAAAAAGUGAUUUUUCAGAGUGUUUGAAGAAAGGAGUAAGGUAUCGACAUUCAGGAGCUUUCAACGGUAGGCUGAAACUUUGAGGCGAAACGAACAAGCGAUUGGUAUAACUAUAAAAGACUCGCAUAAACAGAUAAAAGAUCAAAACUAAGUUCGAUAUUGAAUAUAUGUGGAAGAAUAGAUACUCAAUUAAAUUGAGUAAAAAAUUAUUUCUUCUUGGUCUUGGAAAAAUAAAAUAUAUUUCUAACUUCAUUUAUGUCGUAUCGUAACAAUUCGUUCUUCGUAACUUUUUCUUAAUAAUUCGCUAACUGUUAAUAUUAUAUAAGAGAUCCGAUUUAGCUCAAAUAUACACCGUUUUGUUCGACAGCUUGUUGCCAUUAUAAAGGUAAUGCAUGAAGCCCCUGUCAUAGAAAUCCUCAUCCCUAUUGUCAAAAAGCUGAGAUAGUCGAUUUUCACAAGCUUCUCUUAAUGCCAGUGUUUCAUCAGCAAAAUCAUUCGCCAUAGACAGAAACAAGUAGGAAAUCAACUUUUCAUAACCAAUAACCACCCGUUUCAGAAAUGGAUCGAUUUUGUUGCGAUUCAAUGGCGAUUCCCAGAUAGAAGUUCGAUCCAUAAGGUUUUAUUGCGUUAAUUCCUGUGAUACACAUACAUCGAGCUUCUUCUUGUAUUUCUGCAAUUUUCUUCAGGAUUGGAAUAGACGAAGCUAUGCACAUCAUUAGCAUUACAGUGUCAGGACCUUAAACACUAUUCACAUUCUUAGUCGCUUGACUUAAAAUAUGGUGUUUAUCUCUUUCUUGUUGUCCAUCUUAGAUGAGAGCUCUAACAAUACUGAGACAAAUAAUCGCGAAACUGUUUGAGAAUUUAUUUUAGUAUGAAAAGCCAUCUACUGGAAAAAACAAUGAAUUUCUUUUUACUAGACCCAAUACAUAUUAUAAAGUAAAUUAUUCGCCUUAUUCGUGGCGUUAACCGACAUUCGGCUCAAAAAUUGCAACGGACUACCACAUUAUAGAAUGAAUCAAGUAGAAGAUAUAAAAAAAUUGUCCAAAUUUCAUUGUUAUUUUAUGCAUCAAGUACAAAAUGCAAAGCUGACGUCACCAUACUUUUUUCUUAAAUACUAUUACAAAUGGCAGCACUCCUUAUUGCGGGAUCGGGAAAUUAUUGAUACUCAAUGUAGUUACUCUCUACAGGUAUUAUAAAUACUGCAGAGAAUAGUAUGCUAUACUGCCAUUUGAAAUCACAAAAUCUAUAUCUCUCGUGAAUACCCUGAGCACUUAAUUCAAUAUUCAGUGAUGAAGUGCCACUUUCUUCAAGUCAGACAUACUCUCUAUUUUUGUUCAAAAAUAUUAUAUUCGUUUUUUAUUUAUUUUUUAUUGUUUAAACUACUCAUUUCUUCACUAGACGUUUUAGACAUUAUAUAUACAGAUGUUUUUAAACCCCGCGCUAACCUACAGAAAUAAAGUUGUGCCGUUAUCGUAUCGUAAAAUCGUAGAACGCAAAACAAUACUCGUUUUGUCUCUUUCAUACUGCAUUGUGACUCACUAAAAAAAUAUCAAAUUAGAAAGUAUACAUAUCUCCUUACUGAAUGUAAGAUAGGGUCCAAGCAUAAAAUGUAUAAGAAUGCUAGAAAAUCGUACUAGAAUAUUUCCAUUGUUAUAAAAUGUUACUGCAAAUAUACAAAACACUUCCGAUAUGUGUUAAAAAUUGCAAAACAUCAAAUUUUUUUAUGCUUAACUAAAGUUUUUGAUCUAUUGAGUUAUGGCACUAUUCUGAUAAACCAAUGAUAUUGUCAUGGAAACACCACUUAGAAAAUGUUAGUGAGCUAUAUGGACGAUAUAGUUUCGUAAUACUGAUACUAACUUGUUCGGGUAUACACCGGUUCCUGUACUCUUAUUGCUUUUAUUAAAGCAAAAAUUUCUGUUUCUUAAAAAUUUUGUUUAUAGAAAAUGUACAAUAAUUUUUGUUAGAGUAAGUUUCAUCAAUUUUCUGCUAACUAAAAAUCAACUGAAUGUCAGUCACUUGCUGGGUAGUAAAUACACAUGGAAAAGUGCAAAGAUAAUUGCCAAUAAUUAGGUUGAAAAUGUUAGAAUGAUGUUUGUUACAGGAAUGCUUGAGCAAUUGCAAAAGACAAAGGUUGAACUUAAAAAUGCGAGUAAAUAGCAUAAGUAACUGUAAACUUUAGUGAAUGAGUCCGAAUUGUGUAGUAUUAAUGAGGUGAAUGCGGUUACAAUAUGUGGCAUAAAUGCAAAAUUUAAGCAUAUUUGUUAUUAAGGUAUGUAUAUGUAAUUUUCAUUGAAAAAAAUUUACCUGGUAACACUAGACAUAAGCACAUACAUACUUACAAUACAUACAUAUAUACGCGCAUACAUAUAAAUGUGUAAAUUAAAAAAAAAAAUAUAAUGAAGACAGAAAUAAUGCUAGCAUAAAUAACGGAAUGUAUACAUGCAUAUAUCUGAUGAAUUCUAGUGUAUUAGGUAAUGCAUUAAACAAUUGAAAAUGUACCGAAAAGCAGUUUAUUAAAUACUGGCAAGCAGUUGAAUGAGCAUAAAACAGAAUUAAAAGAUUUAUGUAAGAUAAAAUUUUGCAAAGUUAAAUGCAAAAAUGUUUUUGAGAGAUUUUGCGCAAUUGUUUGAUAGUUGUUUUUAUUGAAACGAACUAAACAGAGAUUUAAAACAAAAAACCAAAACCAAAAAUGGAACAAAAAAAAAUAUAUAUUGAAUAAUGCAGUUUUUUGAAACUAAACUAAAAACAUACUUCUAACCUAUCAUAGACAUACAUAUAUACAUAUAUAUAUACAAAGAAGACAUUUUCAUGCGUUUCAUACCGAACUACACACACAUACACACCCACAUAGAUUUCUACGGCAUUAGCGUAUUCUUAGAUUAAAAGGAAACGAAACAAAAGAACAACAAACACUCUGCUCUCAACUAAAGUGAAUUUUUAAGCUUCAUCUACUAAAAAAAAGAAAAUACGAAAAAUACAUACAUAUAAUAAAAACAUACAUUUAUAAAGUCUUUCCAUUAUUACUCGUAUAUUUUGCUGCUAAAAAUUGUAAAAUAUAUUUAUAAAAAUAAAAAUCUAGCAAAAAAUUGUGAAAUCCAAGAACUCAUUACCAAUCUCGAAUUUGCUAAUCUGCAUGUAGUAAAUUAAUCAAGCUCAAACGCAAUUUGGAAAUAAAUUGAAUACACACAGCAUUAAAUGCAUUUCCAUGCAACACUUUGUUUUAUAAAAGUAAUAUAAAAUAAUAUGAAAAAUAAUAAAUUACACUAUACUCUCACGCAGUUGUUAAAAAAAAAAAUUUGAAUUUCAUUUUCAUUAAAUAUGCAAUGGCUUUGUUAGUUAUGGCUUGGAGCUGUCGUGGUAUCCGCUUUCAGCAUGCCAAGAUGAGGCUGAAUUUUAAAUUCGAUAUGCAGUAGUGGUCGUAUACAAACUAUUAUCAGAGGAAGUGGAAAUUUACCAUUCUUUUACAAUUCUGCAGAUAUAUUACUCAUCAAUUUAGUAAGGCUACUGGUUUAUAGUUUCCGAUCUACUUACCUCACUACUAUGACAGAAUGCUGCAUUGCGUUUGGCUAGUGAAAGCAGUAUAUUUCUAAAGGCAGAUAACAACCCUGAGUUGACAUUUUUGAAAAGCACUGCUUUAGGCAACUGGCAGCAUUGCUCAAAUGCAUGCCAGAAUUCAUAAACAUAAAAUUUAUAUUUUUAGUCCCGAUUUUGUAAUUUUUGUAUACUAAAACAAAUUAUAUAUUACCUUUAGUUCAAAAAUUGGCAACUUGCUGGUAGCCGGUGCCAUGCAUGAUGGAAAUAGCGUUGUAACAUUAGCGUUGCCAGUCUUAAAUUCAAAACAAUUUCGCUUGAAGUUUGGUAUAAUCAAAUAAAGAUUGGCUCCACCAAAUUUAUUUCCUUUCCUUUUUCCAAAAUUAUUUCCUUAAAUAGUUUGUUUGCGAAAAUUUCAUUUUCAGUACUUCUAAUAAUUAAAAAUAUAUAAAAAUUAGCCGUUGUUGUAUCGGCACAAUAUAUACUCUAAAUUACUAUGGGAAAUGUUGCUGAGACGACACAGCUUAGACGAAUAUACCAUAAAUCAAAAUCGGUUUUGGUUGACCAAAUCUGAAUGUCGAGAAAAUUUUUGAAAGUUUCUCUGUUAUUAGUUUUAGUCAAUUUAAAAGGCCCGUUCUAAUAAUUUUAAACUUUCCCGAAUUCUUUGGAUGCUAAAAAGUUGUUACAGACUCACUUGCGUGAUCCGAGAGUUAGUUGCCAUUCAAAACCAUGUAUAAAUAAUUUUCUGGCAUUAAAGAACCAUUGGAUUACCCAUAAUAGUAAUAUGAAAUUUCAGUUUCCUAAAGCAUCCAGUCAGAAUCCCGUGACCAUUUAGUAUACUUAAUCGAAAAGAUGCACUACUCCUCAAAACAAUUUGAGGAAAGUUGUCUGUCAAUGCGACGGGAAUAACAAAUUAUGAUCUUUAACAAGCAAUAGUGUUGGAUAAAUAUUUUUUUCUUACAUUUAUUCACGUAUUGCAAAGUGUUUAUAGGUAAGAAGUCAAGAGAAUAUAUAUUGUAAAUAGUCAAUUUCAAUUCAAUUCAAGAGUAUUCUGAUCGACAGUCUCCAUGAAACGACAUUUAGAUUAGGAUUUUUAAAUCAACUGUUGAAGUGCAGCAGUUUUCUAAUCGCCGCAGCUGAAUAUUUGUAUCGUCGCUUAAUAUUAACUUGGGUUAUUAAGUAGUAGUUCAACUCUUCGGAAAAGUUGAGCACUCUAGCAACAACUUAUAGGCUUAGGUGUAGUCAGAGACAUGAAAAAAUGAUAAUUUAAAAUAUUUUUUUUUGUCAGUACAUAUUUUUAUUUCACAAAAGCAUCAAUAAAUAAGAGUUAUGUUAGGCUUGACUUAACAGAAAUUAAAAAAAAAAAAAUUUAUAAUUUUCCCCAGUUUCAACCGAAGCUCCUUGCGAUGACCAUAACUAUUCUUUGAAGAUUCAUCUGAAAUCAAAUGAACAAAAAAAAAUAUUUUAAAUUUUUGAUAAUCUAGUGCCUGAUCUUAGCUGUUUUUAAUUAACAAAAUGGCAGCAUCAGAGCAAAUCUUUCCAGAAUUCUCAAUACUUAAUUCUUAAUAAAAUAUUGAAAAUAAAACUUACUAAUUUCUCAUCUUUAAAAAAAUUGAGCUGUUUAAAUUUUAUUGAAAUCUAUCGAACGGUUUACGAGGUACAGUGGUCAUCAGUUAAAAAGCAUAGUUUUAAGAAAAAAGCAUUUGAAGUUUUAACGUUCCAGAGCGCCCGAGAACCCUUUGCUAAUUAAAAAAUAAUUCUAAUAAACUUUGUGGGACUUACUUCAAAUUUUUAAAAUAUUAUACUUUAAGAAGAUGCGAUUAAGAAAAUUCUGACUACCCCUAACCUUUUAAAGAAGAAGGUUUGAAAAGCACGACAAGCCACAAUGCAUUUUAAAAAAGAUUUUGGUUUAUUAUUUUUACCAUCCAUUUGAUAUAUUAAUGGAAUAUUAUGAAAAAAAACUCUAUAUUUAAUUGUAGGGUGCACAUUUUUUGUCGACAACAUUUGGUUGAAGUUUAAUUCUGUAUUGGGACGGAAUGGAAUUAAAACAGUGUGCAAGUAUAAUAAAAGAUACCUUUGCAGUUAUAGUUAUUAAAAGAGAGUGAGUAGAAAAGUCACAGUUUCUCCAACAAUAAACUAAUAAUUCAAUCAUGUAUAUUAUUACUCGUCUACACCUUUUUUUUUUUGAAAGUUCGUUAGUGAGAUUAAAUGCCCGAAUGAAGGUAACCACGCUAGAACUAAACAGUUUGGUUGAACUUGAACUUUCUUUGGACAGCGGGUUGUUUUUUUUUUUUUGCAAAAAUAUUGACUUUAACUUUAAGUUGUUGUGCUGAAAAGCAAAAUAAAUCUUUUAAUGAAGUGAUUAAAUUCUUGAAUGCAAUUGAAGGUAAAGAGGCGUGAAUCACUAAAGAAGUAGUGAAUUUUAUCAGCAGUAUGUUUUGUAGAAAUAUGAUAUGACACAUUUUAAUUUUUGUUUUUCUGAAAUUCACAGGAAAUUAAUGCUGCUUAUACAUUUUAACACUUUGCUUAUCACAUAUUUUUUAUUAACUAGUUACACUAACUUUAAAACUGACGAAUUUAGUUAAAUAAAAUUCUAUAAUAUAAUAAUAUCUAAACAAAUGCAAACAUUUUAUGGUGAAAAUUUACAGUUACACUAAUUUAACUAAAUAAGAAUAUUGAUAAAAAUAAAAUUUUAAAAGCAAUGCAUAUCUAUAAUAAAAUAUCAGAACAAUUUCAUAAAUGUUUAAAAAGUCAGCAAAAAUAAAUUGUACAAAACAAAAAUUGCAAAAAUUAUUAAUUAAAUAGUCACAAAUUUGUCAUUUUGUCUCUUGGGCUAACUUAAAUUUUCACAGAAAUUAAAAAUAAACGAAAAUAAUGUAUAUAUUGUAUGUACUUAAGUAUACACACAAAAUUUGAAAUUAACCUUUCUGUCGCCUAGCGAGGCACAACACCAGAACCCACAAUAUUAAAAUGACAAACUCACAAUUCUAAAAAUAUGCACGAAAACUCAAAAACUCCCAUGCACUUACACAUUCACACAUAAGAAGACUUACCAUACAUUAAGAGAAUUUUAUAUACAGCAAAAAUUGCAUAUUGAACUCACUUACUUAAUAAAUAAAACAGAAAAAAAUGUAAUGCAAAAUAAUGAAGUUGCAAAAAAAUUUCGAGGCAUCUCAUAUGUAAUUCUAAAAACAAAAAAAUUAAAAAUAAGAAAAAACAUGUAAAAGGAUUUAACUACAAAAGUCUCAUUCAAAACUGAUAUAUAAAAAGUUCAUUCGAGUUAAACUACUAAACAUUAUACGAGAUAAUUAUUUAUACAUAAAUAUUAUAACAUUAAAGUUCAUUACAUUGCUAAUACCAACUAAAUACAAUUACCAAACCAAAAAAUCCAAAAAAAAAACAAAAAGCGAAAAAGUAACAAAGAAAAUAAGAAGCAUGUAAUAAAAAUAAGUUAAUUAAAGUAUUGAGAAAAAACACAAAGUGAUUGCUACCUAACGUAUAUUAUUACAAAAACAUACAUUUAAGACAGGGAAGUGUGGGUGAAGAGCACAUUAUAGAACCAUAAACAAUGAAUAAAUAAACAGGUGAAAGGUGACGUUAAAUGAUAAUGAAGCUGGAGAUUAAUUAAAUUUAAAAAAUAAAUAAGAAGAAAACAUUACAAAAUAUUACAAAAAAAAACAAAAAUCCAAAA